ensembl:lncRNA
UUUAGGGUUAGGAUUAGGGUUAGGUUUUAGGGUUAAGGUUAGGUUUUAGGGUUAAGGUUAGGGUUAGGUUUUAGGGUUGAGGUUAAGGUUAGGGUUAGUGCUUUUAGGAGGGUGGGCGCUAACCCGUGUGCACAGGCCAUCUAUGUCGUUUGCUCGAAUGGAUUCACUUCACAUUGAGGCCUUGGGGAUGUAUAGUACCUAAUUUCCUAAUCCAGAUCUUUUCUGCUCUUUUUCUCUGGAGCACAGACCACAACGGGUUGGCCUGCAGGACCGUGACGCUGAAUGAGUCCCAUCCGUGCUCCAGAAAGUGUUGGACCAGGUUUUGGAAGUUGGACCUAACCCCCCUGGUCAGUUUCACCGCGGCGGACGAGUACGUCAGGACAAAGGGCACGACGGUGCCCUCCGUCUGCGUCCCUUUGGUCAGGUGUUGGAGAAAAAAAAGGUAGUGUAUGGUAUGUAUAAAUGUGCUAUUUUGAGUACUGAGGUAUUUUAGAGUAUUUUUGGAUUUAAGUUUUAGGUAUUAUUAGUAGUGUUCGGUUCGUAUCAGUGUAGUUUCUUUUAAGAAAGGAAGAUAGGGUGUAUUUUCAAUAAAAUAAUGAAUGUAAGUAAAGGGAAUCCUUUCCUUAAACUUUAAUUCAGGUACAGUUAACAAAAUAGAAGGAUAAAUCAGCUGUUGUUUUAAAGCAAUAGUAGCAGGUAGUAUUUGAUUUGAAUCGAGGUACUCUUUUUUUAGAAAGAACGAAUAGGGUGUAUUUUGAAUCAAAAAGUGAAUAUAAUAGUAAAUGUAAGUAGAUGGAAUACUUUCCUUCAGGUUUAGUCUAGAUAAAGUUCAGAAAAAAAAGGAUGAACAAGCCG